rnacentral:lncRNA from 1 species
GUGGAAGAGAUUUUGUCUAAAGGGCAGCAUUUGUACAAGGAAAAACCAGCCACUCAGCCAGUGAACUCCUACUCAGACUGUUACUCUGGUGACACAACCUGUGGUUACUAAGGAAACUGCCAUCUCCAAACUAGAAAUGCCAUCUUCCUUGAUGUUGGAGGUACCUGCUCUGGCAGAUUUCAACCGGGCUUGGACAGAACUUACCGACUGGCUUUCUCUGCUUGAUCAAGUUAUAAAAUCACAGAGGGUGAUGGUGGGUGACCUUGAGGAUAUCAACGAGAUGAUCAUCAAGCAGAAGCAACAAUGCAGGAUUUGGAACAGAGGCGUCCCCAGUUGGAAGAACUCAUUACCGCUGCCCA